rnacentral:rRNA from 1 species
AGAGUUUGAUCAUGGCUCAGAUUGAACGCUGGCGGCAGGCCUAACACAUGCAAGUCGAGCGGUAGCACAGAGAGCUUGCUCUCGGGUGACGAGCGGCGGACGGGUGAGUAAUGUCUGGGAAACUGCCUGAUGGAGGGGGAUAACUACUGGAAACGGUAGCUAAUACCGCAUAACGUCGCAAGACCAAAGUGGGGGACCUUCGGGCCUCAUGCCAUCAGAUGUGCCCAGAUGGGAUUAGCUAGUAGGUGGGGUAACGGCUCACCUAGGCGACGAUCCCUAGCUGGUCUGAGAGGAUGACCAGCCACACUGGAACUGAGACACGGUCCAGACUCCUACGGGAGGCAGCAGUGGGGAAUAUUGCACAAUGGGCGCAAGCCUGAUGCAGCCAUGCCGCGUGUGUGAAGAAGGCCUUCGGGUUGUAAAGCACUUUCAGCGGGGAGGAAGGCGUUAAGGUUAAUAACCUCAUCGAUUGACGUUACCCGCAGAAGAAGCACCGGCUAACUCCGUGCCAGCAGCCGCGGUAAUACGGAGGGUGCAAGCGUUAAUCGGAAUUACUGGGCGUAAAGCGCACGCAGGCGGUCUGUCAAGUCGGAUGUGAAAUCCCCGGGCUCAACCUGGGAACUGCAUUCGAAACUGGCAGGCUAGAGUCUUGUAGAGGGGGGUAGAAUUCCAGGUGUAGCGGUGAAAUGCGUAGAGAUCUGGAGGAAUACCGGUGGCGAAGGCGGCCCCCUGGACAAAGACUGACGCUCAGGUGCGAAAGCGUGGGGAGCAAACAGGAUUAGAUACCCUGGUAGUCCACGCCGUAAACGAUGUCGAUUUGGAGGUUGUGCCCUUGAGGCGUGGCUUCCGGAGCUAACGCGUUAAAUCGACCGCCUGGGGAGUACGGCCGCAAGGUUAAAACUCAAAUGAAUUGACGGGGGCCCGCACAAGCGGUGGAGCAUGUGGUUUAAUUCGAUGCAACGCGAAGAACCUUACCUGGUCUUGACAUCCACAGAACUUACCAGAGAUGGAUUGGUGCCUUCGGGAACUGUGAGACAGGUGCUGCAUGGCUGUCGUCAGCUCGUGUUGUGAAAUGUUGGGUUAAGUCCCGCAACGAGCGCAACCCUUAUCCUUUGUUGCCAGCGGUCCGGCCGGGAACUCAAAGGAGACUGCCAGUGAUAAACUGGAGGAAGGUGGGGAUGACGUCAAGUCAUCAUGGCCCUUACGACCAGGGCUACACACGUGCUACAAUGGCAUAUACAAAGAGAAGCGACCUCGCGAGAGCAAGCGGACCUCAUAAAGUAUGUCGUAGUCCGGAUUGGAGUCUGCAACUCGACUCCAUGAAGUCGGAAUCGCUAGUAAUCGUAGAUCAGAAUGCUACGGUGAAUACGUUCCCGGGCCUUGUACACACCGCCCGUCACACCAUGGGAGUGGGUUGCAAAAGAAGUAGGUAGCUUAACCUUCGGGAGGGCGCUUACCACUUUGUGAUUCAUGACUGGGGUGAAGUCGUAACAAGGUAACCGUAGGGGAACCUGCGGUUG